rnacentral:rRNA from 1 species
AGGAAACGGAGGGGAUGCUUGUACCAGCGCGCCAGAGGUGAAAUUCUCGGAUUGCGCUGAGACAGUCCUAUGCGAAAGCGUUCAUCAAUUAGUUCUCCUUUGAUCAAGAACGAAAGUAGCGGGAUCGAAAACGAUCAGAUACCGUUGUAGUCGCUACCAUAAACUAUACCGAUCCUCGAUUCUUUGGCUUUUUCAUUUAUAAAACCAAAGAGCAGAGCGUAGGAAACUAGAAUAUUUGGGUUCCGGGGAGAGUAUUGUCGCAAGGCUGAAAUUUAAAGGAAUUGACGGAAUCGCACCACAAGGAGUGGAGCCUGCGGCUUAAUUUGACUCAACACGGGGAAACUUACCAGGUCCAGACUGAAGUAGGAUUGACAGCGCUAGAGACCUUUCAUGAUUUUUACAAUGGUGGUGCAUGGCCGUUCUUAGUUGGUGGAGUGAUUUGUCUGGUUGAUUCCGUUAACGAACGAGACCUUUGUUGUUAGUUUUUAGUUGUUUUUUCCGAAAGACAACAAACCUAGCAAGACUCGCGGUUCUCAAACCGCAGGAAGUGAAAGGCAAUAACAGGUCUGUGAUGCCCCUCGAUGUCCUGGGCUGCACGCGCGCUACACUGAUAUGUUCAACAUGUACUUGGUUUUCUUAACAGAAAGCCCAAUCACUUAAAGCAUACCGUGACUGGAAUUGUCGAUUGCAAUUAUUCGACAUGAACGAGGAAUUCCUUGUAAACACGCGUCACCAACGCGUAUUGAAUACGUCCCUGCGAUUUGUACACACCGCCCGUCGCUGGAACCGAUGAGACUGGUGUUGAGUUUUCUGGAAAGUUUUGUCUUCUAGUAGGCAGAGCUCAAAGGAACGCGAAAUGUCUGGCUUAGAGGAGCCAAAAGUCGUAACAAGGUAACC